CUCUUGGGUUCACUCUAUUCUCCUGCCUCAGCCUCCCGAGUAGCUGGGCUACAGGUGCCUGCCACCACGCCCUGCUAAUUUUUUGUAUUUUUAGUAAAGACAGGGUUUCACCAUGUUGGCCAGCCUGGUCUCAAACUCCUGACUUCAGGUGAUCCUCCUGCCUCGGCCUCCCACAGUGCUGGGAUUAUAGGCGUGAGCCACCGUACCUGGCCUGAUUAUGGGCAAUUUUAUGAAAAACUAAAAGCAAUAAGAACAUAUUGGAAAAAAAAAAUAAAAAGAGCUUCAGAUAACUUCUAAAUUUUAAACAAGUUUUAAAAAUGCAAUAAGUUAUCUAUUUAUUCCCUUUUUCAUUUUAGUAUUCUGAAGAAGCCAAUAAUCUCAUUGAAGAAUGUGAACAAGCUGAACGACUUGGAGCAGUGGAUGAAUCUCUGAGUGAGGAAACACAGAAGGCUGUUCUUCAGUGGACCAAGCAUGAUGAUUCUUCAGAUAACUUCUGUGAAGCUGAUGGUAUAAUAUUUUUGAUAGUAUGCAUUGUGUUUAAAAUUAUACCUAAGAAAAAAAUU
rnacentral:sRNA from 1 species